rnacentral:rRNA from 1 species
UACGGGGGGGGCAAGCGUUGUUCGGAAUUACUGGGCGUAAAGGGCUCGUAGGCGGCCAACUAAGUCAGACGUGAAAUCCCUAGGCUCAACCUAGGAACUGCGUCUGAUACUGGAUGGCUUGAAUCCGGGAGAGGGAUGCAGAAUUCCAGGUGUAGCGGUGAAAUGCGUAGAUAUCUGGAGGAAUACCGGUGGCGAAGGCGGCAUCCUGGACCGGUAUUGACGCUGAGGCGCGAAAGCAGG